CAGCAGUGAUCUCUACAGUGCUGGAUGGGUUACUAUAACAUGGCGGGUACGCUGUGGUCUGCAUGUUCAUUUUGGAAAUCAGCUCUUCAGAGUGUAGACCAGACGAAUGAAGCAGAAGGGAAAACUAUUAACAAGUAUUGAGACAUGGCCUUUGUGUUGUGUCCACUUGUACAUUUUAUACCCUAUCUUAUCGUACCAUACCAUACCAUACCAUACCAACCAUACUAUACCAUACCAUACCAUACCAUACUAUACCAUACCAUACCAUACCAUACCUACUUACCUACCCUACCCUACCAUACCCUACCCUACCCUACCCUACCCUACCCUACCAUACUAUACCAUACCAACCAUACCAUACCAUACCAUACCAUACCUACUUACCUACCCUACCCUACCAUACCCUACCAUACCCUACCCUACCCUACCCUACUCUACCCUACCAUACUAUACCAUACCAACCAUACCAAACCUACCUACCUACCAUACCAUACCAUACCAUACCAUACCAUACCAUACCUACCAUACCAUACCUACCUACCUACCCUACCCUACCCUACCAUACCAUACCUACCAUACCAUACCUUUCUACCUACCUAUCAUACCAUACCAUACCAUACCUACCUACCAUACCAUACCUUAUCGUACCAUACCAACCAUACCAUACCAUACCUACCAACCAUACCAUACCUACCUAUCUACCAUACCUACCUACCAUACCAUACCAUACCAUACCAUACCAUACCAACUAUUAACAAGUAUUGAGACAUGGCCUUUGUGUUGUGUCCACUUGUACAUUUUAUACCCUAUCUUAUCGUACCAUACCAUACCAUACCAUACCAACCAUACCAAACUUACCUACCUACCAUACCAUACCAUACCAUACCAACCAUACCAAACCUACCUACCUACCAUACCAUACAAUACCAUACCAUACCAUACCAACCAUACCAUACCAACCAUACCAUACCUACCUACCUACCAUACCAUACCAUACCAUACCAUACCAACCAUACCAAACUUACCUACCUACCAUACCAUACCAACCAUACCAUACCAACCAUACCAUACCUACCUACCAUACCUACCCUACCCUACCCUACCCUACCCUACCAACCAUACCAUACCAUACCAUACCUACCUACCAUACCAUACCAUACCAUACCAUACCAACCAUACCAUACUAUACCAUAACAUACCUACCUACCAUACCAUACCUUUCUACCUACCUAUCAUACCAUACCAUACCUACCUACCAUACCCUACCUUAUCGUACCAUACCAACCAUACCAUACCAUACCUACCAACCAUACCAUACCUACCUAUCUACCAUACCUACCUACCUACCAUACAAUACCAACUAUACCAUACCUACCUACCCUCCUACCAUACCAUACCAUACCAUACCAACUAUACCAUACCUACCUACCAUACCAUACCAACCAUACCAUACCAUACCACACCAUACCUACCUACCAUACCAUACCUUUCUACCUACCUAUCAUACCAUACCAUACCUACCUACCCUCCUACCAUACCAUACCACACCAUCCCUACCUACCUACCAUACCAUACCAUACCAUACCAACUAUACCAUACCUACCUACCAACCCUCCUACCAUACCAUACCAUACCAUACCAUACCAUACCAUACCUACCUACCUACCUACCUACCUACCUACAUACCUACCUACCUACCAUACCAUACCAUACCAUACCAUACCACAGAAGUAUAAAUGUUGGCCUAGGAUAUGUAUUGCAUGGACAGAGUUACUUUUGUCUGUGAAAUCAGUUUAUUUUGUGAGAAGUGAGAAGUG
ensembl:lncRNA